rnacentral:rRNA from 1 species
CCUACGGGAGGCAGCAGUGGGGAAUAUUGCACAAUGGGCGAAAGCCUGAUGCAGCAACGCCGCGUGAAGGAAGACGGUUUUCGGAGUGUAAACUUCUUUUCUUAGUGAAGAAUAAUGACGGUAACUAAGGAGCAAGCCACGGCUAACUACGUGCCAGCAGCCGCGGUAAUACGUAGGUGGCAAGCGUUGUCCGGAAUUACUGGGUGUAAAGGGAGCGUAGGCGGGAAGCCAAGUCAGCUGUGAAAACUACGGGCUUAACCUGUGGACUGCAGUUGAAACUGGCUUGCUUGAGUGAAGUUGAGGUUGGCGGAAUUCGGGGUGUAGCGGUGAAAUGCGUAGAUAGUCGGAGGAACACCGGUGGCGAAGGCGGCCAACUGGGCUUUAACUGACGCUGAGGCUCGAAGGUGUGGGGAGCAAACAGGAUUAGAUACCCCAGUAGUC